UUUUGAACUUUCCAGUCUGGGGAUGUAUGCAGUUCAGGAGAAGAAGGACAAAAUGAUUCUCUGGAAAGCAGAUCCAAUUUUAGAAUUACUUCCCUAGGGACCUCAGCCUGGAUGGUGGAGGAGAAGCUGGAGUGCUGGAAUGGUCCCAAGGCAUACAUGGGAUUGGGAUAUGCAGAACAAACUCCUGCCAGUGCUGAAUAGUGUGCUGACUUGCAUAAACUCUUGAGGACUCCGUAGGUCCAGCUUCAAGUUUGUCAAGAUUCUUGUCAAGACUCAUACUGAAGCCCCAGAGUUUGGCAUUUCUCGGCAACAUGUGGGGAUAAAUUCCAUUAUUCCUUCUUUUGGUUUCGUAUCAUAAGGUUUUCUUUCGAGCCCAGUGAAAGAGAAACAUCAGAUCAGAGGAGAGCAAUUUUUUGCUGAUCAGCACAAGAAUUGUUCCAGACUACAGGCUGUUGAUUAAAGCAUUAAUUUAGAAUUGAAAGUGAAUCUGGAUGUAUAAACUUCCUUGAUCUGAAAAGGUCAACAGUCUGGGACUACUGCAUUCUGACAGAGCUUCCUAUCCAUCUGGCUACUGUGUAAUAUGGCAGUGUCCUCUCGGGGAACUAUAUUCUAAAAUAAGAUUCAAAAGAAAUGAGAAGGUGGCUUUCCAGAAUUUAGAAGAUAUGAAAUUAUUCUCUCUGAAGAUGAUGAAAAUUUUAAAAGGAAAUUUUCAUAUUUCCCUGAUAAAUGCUACAAGCAGCAAGCAAUUGUGAAGUAUCUGACCUGCACUGCAAGCUAAAUGAUCAGGUUCAUAACUGACUUUUCAGCGUGCUCUUGGAGAUCUAGGUGCCUGUUCAGUUGUGCAUUACUCACAGCAGAACACCAGCUAACAUAUUGAUAACCUUAUAUCCUCAAAAAAAUACCUCUAAAAAUGUGUGAAAGCAUUCAAGAUGUCAGUUAAUCUUUUAGAUGUCUAUAUGCCUAGGAACUGCUAUAAAAGAGUAAGCAGGUAUGGAAGAGUUGCUCAGAAUUUAAGUAGGACUUCAGGUGCCCUUAAUAAGAUUUCAGCAGAACCAGCACCAUUGAGAAACUCAAUAAUUUACUUCAAAGCAAGUACAUUAAUAGAGGAGAUGAGAUUAUCUUUUAGAUGAAGCAUACCUAAAUCAUACCUUACAUUGAAAAGAUAGGUAAAAAAAGGCAGAAAUAAAGAAGGAAUGAUGCAGCCCUAGGAAAAAAGGAUGGUGAUUUUAUGCAUAUUUUAAUGUUUUUUUCAUCUGCCUAUGACUCUCUAUAGCUGCAAAUUUUUAUAAUUUUUUCUUUCAUCUUUCAUUUGAUUAAAAAACAGCAAUAAUGCAUAAGACAAGGUAAAAUGAGACACAUUCUCAAUCACUUAUAUUUUGUUGAGUUAGCUAGAAGAAUGAAUGACAAAAAUUUUAAGGUGUGAAACAUACAUCACUAAACCUACGAAAUACCAAUCUUAUUCAAUAGGUACUUUUCUGAUUAAAAAAAUAAAAUAAAACUGCCACAGUUGUACACCACUCCUGCAUGUGCCUGGAAUUGGUGGAUACACAGAUAAAUAGACACGUUCCCCAAGGUCACUAAAUUCUUGAAUAUCCUAAUAUUCCUUAAGUAUAAACUUAAAAUCAAUGCAAGGUUGAAAAUGUAUUCUGAUGGACCUCAUCCAACUCUAAUUAUCAAUAGUGUGUUCCCUUUGCAAAAAUUGCUCACCUGUUAAAAGCUCCCAAAUGCUAGAAUGUCGGAAAAUGAAAAGUGAUGGAAUCCAGCCUGUUCCCAGCUAAGGUAUAAAUCUUCAUUACUUGGUAGCACAUACCUGACAAAAGCCUCCCCCCCUCCAAAUAUGUAAAGAUGUCCAAAAGUCAAAAUAACAGCCUUGUAGGAGAUUGCUUUGGAUGGAGCCUUUGAUAAGAUACAGUAUUUAUAAUAAAUCUGUGGUUAGAGUAUAAGUUUAAAAUCUAGCCUGUGUGUGCAUAGCACCACUGCAAAAGAAGGACAGGAUCUGACUGACUCCAUCGCUAUCAGCUUCCUCCUCACUUCUGCUCUUGCUCUUAGAGUUCAUUUUGCUCUGUGCUAAUAAGGAUACCUUUAUGUGUCUGCCAGCUCCUAUGCAAGUGAGCAAGAUAAGUAGCCUGCUUAAAAGAAAAUAGUUUCAUGUGUCCCCUUGUUUCCUGCAUUGGCACCCAAUAAAGUUUGGUUCUGAAUUGGUAUUAAUUUAAUGGGCUUGACUUUUCUGUGCUUGGUGGUAAUAUUUACAGGUUAGAGCUCUCCAUUAAUGUCAAUGAAAAGGUAUAAAUAUGUCUUUCACCCUUCAGAAAAAGGAUAUAUGGAAGGAGAAUACUCGUAAUUAACUUCAAUAUGCUGCUUACUCAUAUGAAUAAGAAAAAGAGGGUAAGAGAGAUAAUGUU